CAGUAGCCGCGGUAAUACGUAGGUCCCGAGCGUUGUCCGGAUUUAUUGGGCGUAAAGCGAGCGCAGGCGGUUAGGUAAGUCUGAAGUUAAAGGCUGUGGCUUAACCAUAGUACGCUUUGGAAACUGUUUAACUUGAGUGCAAGAGGGGAGAGUGGAAUUCCAUGUGUAGCGGUGAAAUGCGUAGAUAUAUGGAGGAACACCGGUGGCGAAAGCGGCUCUCUGGCUUGUAACUGACGCUGAGGCUCGAAAGCGUGGGGAGCAAACAGGAUUAGAUACCCCUGUAGUCCCUGUCUCUUAUACA
rnacentral:rRNA from 1 species